rnacentral:rRNA from 1 species
UUUUUCCGGUGGGGGCUGCGGGAAGGAU